CCUACGGGAGGCAGCAGUGAGGAAUAUUGGUCAAUGGUCGGGAGACUGAACCAGCCAAGCCGCGUGAGGGAUGAAGGUACAGAGUAUCGUCAACCUCUUUUGUCAGGGAACACAGGCGGGGACGUGUCCCCGGAUGAGUGUACCUGAAGAAAAAGCAUCGGCUAACUCCUUGCCAGCAGCCGCGUGAAUACGGAGGAUGCGAGCGUUAUCCGGAUUUAUUGGGUUUAAAGGGUGCGCAGGCGGUCUGUUAAGUCAGCGGUUAAAGGCCGUGGAUCAACCCCGGCCCCGCCGUUGAAAUGGGCAGUCUCGAGUUGGAGAGAAGUAUGCGGAAUGCGCGGUGUAGCGGUGAAAUGCAUAGAUAUCGCGCAGAACUCCGAUUGCGAAGGCAGCAUGCCGGCUCCACACUGACGCUGAGGCACGAAAGCGUGGGUAUCGAACAGGAUUAGAUACCCUUGUAGUC
rnacentral:rRNA from 1 species